GUUCUGUAACCAAAGAGGUAAACCGGAACCAUAUUACUGAGGCCCCGUUGUCUAUUCGUCUGUCACCUGGCUGCAUCUCAGGAACGGCGAUAGUCAGACCGUUGUAAUUUCUACUGAUCUUCCAAACAAACAUGAGGAAUAUUUACAAAAUAGAAAAGUUGUUACACGUGUUAUCUUGGCCCCCUGGUGUUCUGAUCAUGACUUGCCUUUAAAUAGAAUGAUAAAUAAAUAGCGUUAUAAUAUAAAAAUAUCAGUCACGCAUUUUUUGAAAUUGACAGGGACAAAAUUCUGAAGAAUAGGAGAUGUGGAAUGUUAGGACUAAGCAAAAUAUAAACAUAAAAGUGACUUCAUGCAUGAGUUCCAUUUACUGUACCGAUUUACGAAGAGAAAUUACGUAUUUUAUUCGUUAACCUACCCGACGAUCAUUGAUGUGCAUUACCGACAUCUCUUUUGCAUAAAUGGAAUUAAAAUAAAGAUCUAAGUAUACGGAAAAAGAAGGUUAGCAGUUUAUGCAAGUAUAAUAUUCCUAGCCUUUCUAGAUAUUGAGAGGUUGUUGUCUUUCGAACGAUCUGUAAAAAUGAGUUUCACAAAUUAUAUAAAAAAUUGUUGGAAUUGCUAAACACUAACCAAGCUUCAACUUUUCAGCUUAUUUAGCCCCUCACUUGUCUGGUUUAUUCCAUGAGGUUGGCGAUGAAGUUACGCUGACCGCACGAAGACUGCCGAUACCGACAGCCAAAAGUAUUUUCCAGACAGUGUAUGACGAAUAGGAAUGAAUAUUUGGAAGAACCAUGUGUAUAGAUGAGAUCAAUGUGACCUACAUGCGAGUUUGGGUUGAGCGUGAAUACGAAUGUUUUGAUCUUGAAGUAGCAUCGCCAACAUCACUGAGUUAAACAUAUAGGUAAAA